rnacentral:rRNA from 1 species
CAGCCGCGGGUAAUUCCAGCUCCAAUAGCGUAUAUUAAAGUUGUUGCAGUUAAAAAGCUCGUAGUUGAAUUUCGGAGUUUGUCGGUUGGUCGGGCUUCAUUGUCCGCACUGACCUGAUGGAUUCCUACCUUCUGAAUAACCAGCAUGCUAUUAAGUUAGUGCGUUGGGGAAGCAGAGCUAUUACCUUGAAAAAAUUAGAGUGCUUAAAGCAGGCUUAUGCUUGAAUAGAUUAGCAUGGAAUAAUAAAAUAGGACGGCAUGGUUCUAUUUUGUUGGUUUCUAGGAUCACCGUAAUGAUUAAUAGGGAUAGUUGGGGGCAUUAGUAUUCAAUUGUCAGAGGUGAAAUUCUUGGAUUUAUUGAAGACUAACUUCUGCGAAAGCAUUUGCCAAGGAUGUUUUCAUUAAUCAAGAACGAAAGUUAGGGGAUCGAAGACGAUCAGAUACCGUCGUAGUCUUAACCAUAAACUAUGCCGACUAGGGAUCGGACGAUGUUAAUUUUUUAAUGACUCGUUCGGCGCCUUACG